AUGGACGGCUCCCGAGUAGCGAUGCUGCAUCCCCGCCUCACCUGCGGCGGAGUGCCGCUUUGCGUUGCAAUGAUCCGGCACCCUUUCGCUGCGCGUAGCCCCGGUGGAGUCAAGAAGGCCCGUUUCAUUGCACUGAGUGCUGAUGUCAAUGAAGGUGAUGCCAAAUUUUGGAGUUGAACUUCGGAGUGGAUCUGGGGCGCAGAUGAAGGAAGCUGAUGCUCUUUUGUAUGAAGAAACGCAUGUUCCUGUCUAACAGCGAGAGGGAAAGAUGGAGAGGCCCUGUCACAAGCAGAUGAGUGUUCAUUACUUUACCCUUGACGGGGGGUUUGGGCAGCAGGAAAGAGAUUUCACGCUAAUUUGUGGGAUGACACCUUAGCCAUUUACAAUAUAUAUAUAUAUAAAACAAACAGACUAUAAAACUCUUGAUAACACUUUGGCCUAUUUUAAUCACACCUACAAACACAAUUUUUAGCAUAAUGAUUUAAUAUCUCCCUAUAUACCAUGAAAGAGUUCAAAAUUGGUGGAUGUUAAAACAAAAUUAAAAGGAUGAAUAGCAUGUCUGUCAUUAAUAUAAAGGAUAUUUUAAUCAUGCGUCAUGUACAAUAGAGUACAGCUGUCGGAAAAAAGAUUAUGAUGAUCUGAUUUGAGCAAACAGUUUGUUUAAACGGUAUCACUUUACAAUAAGGUUUUACUUGUUAACAUUAGUUAACCACAUUAAUUAACAUCAACUAAUGAUAAACAAUACUUCUACAGCAUUUGAACAACUGUAUUUUUAUCAACUAACAUUUAAAAAGGUUAAUAAAUGCUCUAAAAUAUAUUGCUCAUCAUAGUUAAUGUUAACUAAUGUUAACAAAGGAGGCCUUAUUGUAAAAAUAAGAGUAAAUUCUACCAGAAUGCCUAAAAUAUAUGUAAACAUAUUGUACAGUAACUACUCAUAAUAAAGUCAUUUCAUUAAAAAAAAAAUUCUAGCAUUUGCUCUAGAAUGACAGCUGUUUAUUAGAACUGUAAUUGCUGAAUUAAGUUUCCAAAAAGCCCAAUCUCUGCAUAUAAGAUGGGGUCUGACAUGUAGGUUAAAAAAAACUUUCAAAAAGCCUUAAUAAACACACCUUAAACUGAGACAUCCUUACCUUAAAGCAGCGUCCUUCUUUCCUUCGGCAAGCACGCUAGACUCGGGUCCCCUAACAUACAUGAGGUGUGAGUGAUGGGCGCUUUUUCGAGAAAACAGGAUUUAGUCAUCAGACAUGCAGCUUUUUCCUCAGACGCUUGUCAGAUGUAGGGGGCCGGCCGGUCUCUCUUUGAGACGCAUAAUUAGGAUGCAGGCUGAAGAAAGGACAGCCCAGCUUGAUAAGGGUUGGCAUGCAAAUGGAUAAGGAGACAAAGAAGCACACAGAGAAAGAGAGAGAGGGAGAGCAAAACACUAUAUGUUGCACACACCACAACACUUUCUGCUUUAAGUGUCGGGUAUCAUUAUUGCGUCCACUGCUCAGGUUGGCUGAGGUAGUCGAAUACAUUGAGGUCCGCAGAUGAGGAAAUCGAGGAGAGAGAAAUCUGCGAUUGAUGCUCAGCAGUUCAAAGGCCUUCCCAAACCCUCUUAUCUUUCCCGCCACAGAGGCAGCUCAGAUAAAAGAGGAACACACAUCACACCAAGCGUUGGACGGAAACAUGGAUGUUGGAGAUGUACAUGUACACAACUAGCAGUGUUCAGUGCAUUAAAGAUGACAUCUCUUCUCUGAUGACAUGUUUACUGGAUUGAGGGGGGACAACCUGUCACUCACAUGACAUCACAGCAACAGCAAACCACAACCAUCCAAUCGAUUCCUGAUGGCCAAAAUUAAGUCCCGCCCUACAUUUUAUCUUG